AGCUCCCUGGAGUGUGCGCCAGCUGAUUACGUCCCUGAGCCGAUUCACUCAAAACGGAGCCUGCCCUGUGAACUGGUGUGCAUGUCCGCUUGCGGAAAGCCUGAAGGUUCAACGCGGGCUCCACCUUGGACUCUUCGGGUUCAAGGGCCACGUCAGUAGCGGCACUUUCGGGGAGUCC
rnacentral:other from 1 species